CUACAACUUAAUAGGGAUGGUGCAGUAUUCUAGUCAAUCUACCAGUUCUGAAGGUGGGCCUAAAAAUCCACUAAAGGGCACAUCGAUGAAGUUCCUUGUUUCGGCUUGAGGCGCCCAGCCUUGGGUCGAAGCUGGGAGUAAGGUACAAGGGCGAUCCACAAUGGCAUGUGGGCGUUGACCCUUGCACCGCGGAGGUUCCGUUCUGGGCCGGCAAGUUGCAUGAGCAACAGAACGGAGUAUAGACCUGCGAUGCGGUGACAACCGCUAGCAGCGUAGCCUGCCUUGAGUGAAGUGUGAGGGGAUUAUGGUUACAAGGUACACAUCAGUUGGCCAUUGAUAUGUGCUUUUUCGCCCAUAUGAAAUCCACUUUGCAAAAGAGGCUAAGAACAUGGUUAAAGGUUGCUGAGGAAAACUCCUAGACUGUUCCCAUUUGUGACAUAUAUUGAGGAUUAUAGUGCGGACUAAGUGGUAAUCCAGUCUAACUGCUGGUGACACAGUUAAGUCGGGUUUAAAGGGAAACCGCCGGUAUGGCGACAUCCGGUACCUGAUUGGGAAAACCUACUGGACCUAAGCUGCAAUUUUUACUCAAUGUAUGACCAUCCCUUUACAUAUUUGA
rnacentral:sRNA from 1 species